UGGGGAAUAUUGCACAAUGGGCGCAAGCCUGAUGCAGCAACGCCGCGUGAACGAAGAAGGCUUUCGAGUCGUAAAGUUCUUUUAUAUGGGAAGAUAAUGACGGUACCAUAAGAAAAAGCCCCGGCUAACUACGUGCCAGCAGCCGCGGUAAUACGUAGGUGGCAAGCGUUGUCCGGAAUUAUUGGGCGUAAAGCGCGCGCAGGUGGUUUAGAAAGUCUGAUGUGAAAGCCCACGGCUCAACCGUGGAGGGUCAUUGGAAACUAAUAAACUUGAGUGCAGGAGAGAAAAGUGGAAUUCCUAGUGUAGCGGUGAAAUGCGUAGAGAUUAGGAGGAACACCGGUGGCGAAAGCGGCUUUUUGGCCUGCAACUGACACUGAGGCGCGAAAGCGUGGGGAGCAAACAGG
rnacentral:rRNA from 1 species